UACAGAGGUCUCAAGCGUUGUUCGGAAUCAUUGGGCGUAAAGGGUGCGUAGGCGGCGCGGUAAGUCGGGUGUGAAAUCUCGGAGCUUAACUCCGAAACUGCAUUCGAUACUGCCGUGCUUGAGGACUGGAGAGGAGACUGGAAUUUACGGUGUAGCGGUGAAAUGCGUAGAUAUCGUAAGGAAGACCAGUGGCGAAGGUGGGUCUCUGGACAGUUCCUGACGCUGAGGCACGAAGGUCAGGGGAGCAAACGGG
rnacentral:rRNA from 1 species